UACGUAGGUGGCAAGCGUUGUCCGGAUUUACUGGGCGUAAAGGGAGCGUAGGUGGAUAUUUAAGUGGGAUGUGAAAUACUCGGGCUUAACCUGGGUGCUGCAUUCCAAACUGGAUAUCUAGAGUGCAGGAGAGGAAAGUAGAAUUCCUAGUGUAGCGGUGAAAUGCGUAGAGAUUAGGAAGAAUACCAGUGGCGAAGGCGACUUUCUGGACUGUAACUGACACUGAGGCUCGAAAGCGUGGGGAGCAAACAGG
rnacentral:ncRNA from 5 species